rnacentral:misc_RNA from 1 species
UUGAAUGGUAAUGGAUCAGGUUCAGUCUCUGUUUGUUCUGCAUUUGUCUUCAUUGUAAAGCCCUUCUCCUUUUCAAAUAGUUUUAGCAAGCUGUUAAAAGCUAUGAUUUUGCAUUUAUUGGGAGGCUUUGUUCUUGAAGGAGCUUUCUGUUAUUAUUCUUUGUGCCAAUUGGGAAGUGAAAUUCACAGCUAAGUACAUUCUUGGAUUCUAAAGAGAUUUUGAAUGUGCAUAAUAGAGUUCCCUUGAGAAUUUAAAGAAGUUCAGUCUUUUUGUGCCAUGUUCUAAUCAAAG